CACGCACGCUGGCGGCAUGCCUAACACAUGCAAGUCGAACGAGACCUUCGGGUCUAGUGGCGCACGGGUGCGUAACGCGUGGGAACCUGCCCUUAGGUUCGGAAUAACUCCCCGAAAGGGGUGCUAAUACCGGAUAAUGUCUUCGGACCAAAGAUUUAUCGCCUUUGGAUGGGCCCGCGUUGGAUUAGCUAGUUGGUAGGGUAAAAGCCUACCAAGGCGACGAUCCAUAGCUGGUCUGAGAGGAUGAUCAGCCACACUGGGACUGAGACACGGCCCAGACUCCUACGGGAGGCAGCAGUGGGGAAUAUUGGACAAUGGGCGAAAGCCUGAUCCAGCAAUGCCGCGUGAGUGAUGAAGGCCUUAGGGUUGUAAAGCUCUUUUACCCGGGAUGAUAAUGACAGUACCGGGAGAAUAAGCACCGGCUAACUCCGUG
rnacentral:rRNA from 1 species